rnacentral:tRNA from 1 species
CAGAAGUUAGUUUUUUAAAAAAUAUUAGUUUUGGGGACUGAAGAUAGAAAUUUUCUACUUCUGA